rnacentral:rRNA from 1 species
CGGACGGGUGAGUAACGCAUGGGUAACCUGCCUCACACAGGGGGAUAACAGUUGGAAACGGCUGCUAAUACCGCAUAAGCGCACAGUACCGCAUGGUACAGUGUGAAAAACUCCGGUGGUGUGAGAUGGACCCGCGUCUGAUUAGCUAGUUGGCAGGGCAACGGCCUACCAAGGCGACGAUCAGUAGCCGACCUGAGAGGGUGACCGGCCACAUUGGGACUGAGACACGGCCCAAACUCCUACGGGAGGCAGCAUG